UUCCCCCCUGCUAAGCAAUUAUGCCAAUCAACUUAGUGCAAUCACACGCUACAGUUGAUUGUAAUAAAGGAAAAGCUGGGUUGAGAGGUGACAUGAUUUGCUGGAGGUAUAAAGUUACUG
ensembl:miRNA xtr-mir-320 xtr-mir-320